rnacentral:lncRNA from 1 species
GUGAAUCCCAGGUUCUCGUUGUUCCUAUGAGUGAUGAACCUGCCGCAUGUAGCUUGUUACCUCUAUGUAUGUUCUGUCUCAUCAAAUCCAAACAAGUCGGUAAUCAGUGCAUGGUGAACCUUCUUCAAAAAGAUCCUCGGAUAUAGAAUUCAGAAGAAAAUUUGGUAAUGUAUUUUCAUAAGACAUGCAGAAAUACAAGUGAUCCAUGGAGAACCGUCUUCCAGUGUGAAAUGUCUCCCACAUCUUGGGUCCCUGAAUGGCUGACUACAUAGAACAGAAUAGUCAUUAAGUCAUAACUACUACCAGAUAUAAAACCUGAUGAAGAAACAAAACUUUUUGGCAUUAUCGUCUAGUCUAAGCUAACUAAUAUUGACUUUAAGAAGUGGGAAUUAUUCAUAACAAUAUGGGAUAAUAUUUAUAUUGAAGAUAAUUUUCUUUUACACAUUGGAUUUGCCACAGAAGUAAGAGGGAGGCUGAUGGAUGUGAGAAAUGAAUCCAACAUUCUGCAAGAAACCCACAUGGAGAAAGAGACAGUUUGGUCUUACUAUGGGCCGAUGCCAGCAACCUAGUAUAGAAGAUGAAGAGAAGUCUCCAGCAGCCAUGGAGGAGCUAUUCUCUAACACUGCUUAGAAAGUGGAUCUGUGUGGCCCAAGUGGUAGACUGUGCUCACCAGGAAAACAAGUACUCAGAUCUACUGCUUCUGGGAAAUCUGCAUAAUUGACCAAUGGCCUCAGUGCUACCCCACUGUUAUAAAAUGCACAGGAGACAAGGACUAGAAAGAGAAACCUUCAACAUAUAUAAGACAUGUUUUUCCUUCCAGACAUUUGCCAGGUUAUGAAGCCACAUGUGGUUAAAAUCUAAUAAGCUAAACUCAAAAUAUGCAAAGGCUAGAACUUCCAGGAAGAUGUAACAAAGAUCUGCCAAGUCCAGUGAAGUUGAUACCUCAGUGGUCGUGGGCUGGACCUGAAAGGCAGUGUGAAAUAUUGAGAGGCAUAGUCCUCCUUAAAGCAGAACCCUGCAGCAUGUAUACCAAAGUCACAUCUUCAAAGCUAAUCGCUGUGACCUGUUAUUGAAACAGACAUUUUACUAUGACAUUGAGGUGACCUCUCAUGCCUUUCACCUGUUAACACAGGAGUGGACAGAUACUCACAGGAAAUAAAUAAUGAACUCAGUAGAAAAAAAGACCUAUGAACUGAAAGAGAAUACAAUAGAAAUUAUAUUUAGUAAAGCACAAAGAGAAAAAUGAGUAACAAGAAGAGAACUUUCUAUAUGAUGCAUAUGGAACACAGUCAAGUAAAGACUAAGCAGAGCAUCAUAACAGCCUAUAUGUGGAAACUUCUCUAUUCAUUUAUUACAUUACAUUUGUUUGUAUCCUUUAAUUGUACCCUUACUUUUUAUCCUGUCAGCUUUAUUCUUUCUGGCCAGUAUCAUUUAUGUAAAAAUUGAUAGGUAGGACUGGCUGGGCGCAGUGGCUCACGUCUGUAAUGCCACCACUUUGGGAGGCCGAGGCAGGCGGAUCACCUGAGGUCAGGAGUUUGAGACCAGCCUGGCCACAUGGUGAAACCCUGUCUCUACUAAAAAUAAAAAAAUAAUAAAAAUAAAAAAAAUAGCUGAGCAUGGUGGCGGGUGCCUGUAAUCCCAGCUACUUGUGAGACUGAGACAGGAGAAUCGCUUGAACCUGGGAGGCGGAGUCGCAGUGAGCCAAGAUCAUGCCACUGUUUUCCAGCCUGGGAGACAAGAGCAAAACUCCAUCUCAAAAAAAAAAAAAAUUAAUAGGUAGGACUAACCAGAUGUAUUUCUAUCAAUAUUAUUUUUAAUAUUUUUCUUUUUAAUCAAAAUUUAAAAGUAAAAAUAUGCAUAGGGAAAAUGAGACUAGUAUUUAUUUAUUAGCUAUUUAAUUUCUACCAACUCUAUUAAAUCUUUUGGAAUGUCUUAAAGUAUAAUUUAUAUUUUAGUUUGGAUAAAGACAUAGCUAUAUAUUAACAUGAAUAUGAAGUUAUAUAUUGAUUUAUAUUAUAUUUCCUAUAAAAUCACAUAAUACAUAGUAAGAAUGUAUAAGAUGAUACAAGUCAAAUCAUGGAUGCUUGGAGAUCUUGUGAUGAAGCCUGUUCUUCCCUUGGUAGCUGGGCAUGAUGUGGCCCAUCUUCAUGCUAGGCCAGCAUUCCCUUGCUUCUGUAUACCUAAUUUCUCCUUCUCAGAUGCACUCCCAACAAUGUAUGCAGAAAGCUAAAAAAAUGAAUGAGUGUAGUUAAUAAGAUGCUAUUGAAACUGAGCCCCAAAUCUAGCUCUGAGCACAAUGAUAGCUAAAACUUAAGGAGAGGCAGAUCAAAUAGAUUUCAUCACCAAAGCACAGAAGCAUAUUUGUUCAACAACAGAGCUUUGCAUUUACAAAAGAGAAAAGAGCAUGUUUGGGGUAAUUUAUUUUGAAAUUGCUCUGUCAAAAGCUAAUUUCAUUUUGUUCCAUGAGGCCAAUUUGGCUCAUAUGUUUGUGCUUUGAUAAAGGCAUAGGAAUAAUAUUAAAAUUGUUGCAACUCUACGGAGAUUAUAAAACUUUCUCAAGGCAAAUUUCUUGUCUCUGGAAAGAAAGAAUGGUGAAUAAUGAAUGACGGAAAUUUGAAAAUGAAUUCGUUCAACAAACACUUAUUGAGUGAAUGCUGUGUGCCCGAUGCGUUAAGUCUAAAUCAUCUAGUGCUGCAGUGAGUGAGCCAGGGUGAGAAAACAAUGAAAAGAGCAGACAGGUUGUUAUUCAAAAUGUCUUUUUUUUUCUCCAUGCAAUGUUUCAAAUUUGGAGAGUCAUAGUUUGUUAUUGAUCCAUCAAAUAUUAUGAACUAUAAGACCCCAAUAUACAGUGGCUUAAAAAUAGAGAUAUAUUUACCUCUCACCUAACAUACCAGGGCAUUUCCAGGUUUUAUAGUAGCUUAAUCAUGUCAGGAAACCACACUUCUUUCAUCUUCUACUCCUCUAUCCCUAUAGGCCUUUGCCUAUCAUGUGAAAAAGAGUGUUAACCAGUGGGAAAAAUAAAAAAGAAAAAAGGGAAGAGUAAUUCAUAUCAUUUGAAUUAAAUAACCUAGAAUUUGCACACAUCAUUUCUGCUUCUAUCCUUUUAACCAAAAUAGGAAGUUACGGAACACCUACUGAAGGAGCUGGGCAUAGAGUUUUGCUGGGUAGCCAGGCAGGUUAUUCUUCCCACAAAUGAAAAACACUCAUUUUUAAUGCAAUAACACAGGGAUCUGUGUUACAGGGUAACACGCAGAUCUAUUCAUUCACUAUCGCAAGGUAAAUCCCACAAUUUUUUUUUUUUGAUAAGUAAUUCCACUAGGGGUUUUUAUUUUGGUUUUUUUUUUUUUUUUUUUUUUUUUUUUUUUUUUUUGGACAGAGUCUCGCUUUUCACUCUGUCACCCAGGCUGGAGUGCAGUGGCAUGAUCUCGGCUCACUGCAACCUCGUCCUCCCAGGUUGAAGCAAUUCUCUGGCCUCAGCCUCCCGAGUAGCUGGGACUACAGGCACGUGCCUCCAUGCCCGGCUAAUUUUUUGUAUUUUUUUUAAGUAGAGACAGGGUUUCAUCGUGUUUGCCAGGAUGGUCUCAAACUCCUGACCUCGUGAUCUGCCCGCCUUGGCCUCCCAAAAUGCUAGGAUUACAGGCGUGAGCCACCGCGCCCGGACACCAGCAGGUUUUUGACUCAUGGGCUAAAUCAAAUCCUCUCCGAUAUAAAAUAUAAUAGAGAAUAGGAAUAUGGUCACUACCAUAAUACUCUCAUUUGGAAAAUGGAAGAAUAAGAAACAAACAUCCUCUUUUCUAAAGUAAAUUAAUACAUACAUGUGAAAAGUAUCUGCUCUGCUACUCAAGAGAUUUUCCUUGAUGAAUAUUUAUGGCAGUUCUGGGUUUCGCUCUCUUGAACGUUUUUCUCUGCUUAGAAACUUCUUGGCCACAUCUGAGAUUGGACUGAGAAAGAAAAAUUAUGUCCUUAAAACCUGCCUAACAUUUACCCAAGUCAUUGUAGUUUGUUGUUCAUUUAUUUAGGUAAUAAUACACUUGCUGCAAAAC